CUCAGCCUCCCAAGUAGCUGGGAUUACAUGCGUGCACCACUAUGCCUGGUUAAUUUUUGUAUUUUUAGUGGAGACGGGGUUUCACCAUGUUGGCCAGGCUGGUCUCAAACUCCUGACCUCAUGAUCUGCCUGCCUCAGCCUCCCAAAGUGCUGGGGUUAGAGGUGUGUGCCACCGCACCUGGCCACAUAUAUGUUUUCUUCACAUGGGUGGUGCAAUCAAAAUAUGGAACUAUUCAAUCACCACAGAGCUUUCCUUUGUCCUAUGCCUAAUUUGUUCUCCAUUCUUAUAAUUGUGUCAUUUCAAGAAUGUUAUAUACAUAGAAUUAUCAAAUAUAUGGCCCUUUGAAUUGCCCUUUUUCACUCGGCAUGAUGGCCUUGAGAUCUUUAGGACAUUUCUGUGAUCUCUAGUUUUUGGCUAUUACAAACAAAGCUGCUAUGAACAAUUGUGCAUCUCUUCAAUCCUUUUACUUUCAACCUACCUAUAUUGUUAUAUUUAGCUUUUUGCAGAAUGUAUCGUACAGUUGGAUCAUGCUUUUUUAUCCACUCUGCCAAGAUCUGUCUUUUUUCUAUGUCUUUAGACUCUUUCCACUUGCUGUAAUUUUCUAUAUUUAGCCUGUAUUGUAUUUAUUGUAUUCUGUUUGUUCAUUCUGUUUUUUGUUUGUUUCUCUGUAUUCUUUUUCCUGCCUUUCUGUGGGUUACUUGAAUAUGCUUUAGAGUUCCAUUUUGAUUUAUCUAUAGUGUUUUUUAGUAUACCUAUUGGCAUAGCUUUUUAAAUAGUUGCUCUGGGUAUUUCAUGCUGUAUGCAUAGCUUACCAUAGUCUACCAGUGUUAACGUUUUAUCAGUUUAAGUGAAGUGUGGAAAACUCGCCUUUGUUUAUAUUCCUUUACUCGCCUCCAUUUUAAUAUAAUUGUCUUAAAUAUUUUCUACACAUAUAUUGAGAACCACAUCAGACAGUGUUAUACUUCUUGCCUCAACCAUGAAACAUAAUUUAGAAAACUCAGGAGGAGAAAGAAAUUUAUUUAAAUUAAUCAUAUAUUAAUUUUUUAUUAUAUUUUUUCCUGUCUGAUCUUCCAAGUUUCCUUAUUUUAUAGUUUUGUUUGUGUUUAGGGAAUUUUCUUUAGUCAUUGUUUUAGGUUGGUUUGCUGGCCACAUCUUUUAAGUUUCCUUCAUCUGAGAAUGUCUUGAUUUCUCUUUGGUUUUCUGAACGAUAUUUUCAAAGGGUAUAUAAAUCUGGGUUGACAGUUUCUUUCUCUCUUUCUUUCUUUCUUUCUUUCUUCCUUCCUUCCUUUCCUUCUUCUUUUCCUUCCUUCCUUCCCUCCCUCCCUUCCUUCAUUCCUUCCUUCCUUUCCUUCUUCUUUUCCUUCCUUCCUUCCCUUCCUCCCUCCCUCCCUCCUUCCUUCGUUCCGUCCCUCCCUCCCUCCUUUCUUUUCUUCUUUUCUUUUCUCUUUUCUUUUUCCUUCUUUCUUUCCUUCCUUCCUUCUCUUCUCUUCUUUCUCUUUCUUUCUUUCUCUCUCUCUCUUUGUUUCUCUUUCCUUUCCUUCCCUCCCUCCCUCUCUCCCUCCCUUCCUUCCUUUUUCUUUUUUGUCUUGCUCUGUCACCCAGGCUGGAGUGCAGUGGCACGAUCUCUGCUCACUGCAACCUCCGCCUCCCGGGUUCAAGCAAUUCUCCUGCCUCAGUCUCCCGAGUAGCUGGGAUUACAGGUGCCCGCCACCGCACCCAGCAAAUUUUUGUAUUUUCAGUAGAGAUGGGGUUUCACCAUGUUGGCCAGGAUGGUCUCGAUCUCUUGACCUUGUAAUCCAUCCUCCUUGGCCUCCCAAAGUGCUGGGAUUACAGGUGUGAGUCACCACGCCUGGCCGACAGUUUUUUUUUUUCUUUUAGCAUUUGAAAACUAUUGUAUUACUUCAUAUUGGCUUCCAUGGUUUAUGGUGACAUACCUGCCAUCAAUUAAAUUGUUUUCUUCUAUUGGUAAGGUGUCAUUUCUCUCUCACUGCUUUCAUAAUUUUUUUUGUCUUUAGCUUUCAAAAGUUUGAAUAUGAUAUUUCCUGGUGUAGAUUUCUUAGGGUUUAUCAUUUUUGGGGUUUGCUUGGUUUCUGGAAUCUGUAGGUUUUUGUCUUUUGCCAUAUUUGUAAAUUUUCAGUGUUUAUUCCUUCAAAUGUUUUUGGCUUCACUUUUUCUCCUCCCUUACAGAACUCCACUGACAUGAAUGUUAGAUCGUUUGAUAUAGCCCCAAAAUUCCCUGAGACUCUAUCUUUUUAACACUAUUUUUUUUCCGUUUUUCAGGUCGGAUGAUGUCUAUUAUUGUAUCAUCAAAUUCCCUGAUGUUUUCCUCUCUGGCCUGCAUUCUGCUGUUAAGCCCAUCUCCAUUGAGGUUUCUAUUUUGGUUCUAUGAUAUAACAGUGAGCCUGGAAAACUGGCCUGAAUCAAAUGAGAAUUAAAACCUGCCAGAAUGCUUAAGCGACCAUGGCCCGGAGGUUUCUCUCCAGCUCUGCUUCUCCCUCCCUGUCUCUGGAGGCUGCUGCAGCAUCAGACUCAAGCCCAGGAGUGAAGGUAAGGCAUCUUAGAGGACAAGCUGUGGACCUGUCACUUCUGCUUCUAUUAAUAGCUGGGUAAACGGCAGUACUCGGGAAAGGCAAGGAAAUGUGAUCCUCGGAUAUGGAAGAGGGCUUAACAUCUCAGGGCCUGACUUAUCAGUGACACAACGGACACUGCCUUUGCCUCACGCACCAGGCUUUGCUGUGCUUGGAGCUCAAUUUCCAGAGCACUGGCUGUGCGUUUCAGUUCCAAGAUCUCCAUCUGGCAGCCCUGCAGCUGCUCCGCGCUGGACAGUUGCUGCUGAUUCAGCUCUUCUGUCUGAAACACAG
rnacentral:lncRNA from 10 species